rnacentral:rRNA from 1 species
GGAGCUUGCUCCCUUAGGUCAGCGGCGGACGGGUGAGUAACACGUGGGUAGAGCCUGCCUGUAAGACUGGGAUAACUCCGGGAAACCGGGGCUAAUACCGGAUGCUUGAUUGAACCGCAUGGUUCAAUCAUAAAAGGUGGCUUUUAGCUACCACUUACAGAUGGACCCGCGGCGCAUUAGCUAGUUGGUGAGGUAACGGCUCACCAAGGCGACGAUGCGUAGCCGACCUGAGAGGGUGAUCGGCCACACUGGGACUGAGACACGGCCCAGACUCCUACGGGAGGCAGCAGUAGGGAAUCUUCCGCAAUGGACGAAAGUCUGACGGAGCAACGCCGCGUGAGUGAUGAAGGUUUUCGGAUCGUAAAACUCUGUUGUUAGGGAAGAACAAGUACCGUUCGAAUAGGGCGGCACCUUGACGGUACCUAACCAGAAAGCCACGGCUAACUACGUGCCAGCAGCCGCGGUAAUACGUAGGUGGCAAGCGUUGUCCGGAAUUAUUGGGCGUAAAGCGCGCGCAGGCGGUUUCUUAAGUCUGAUGUGAAAGCCCCCGGCUCAACCGGGGAGGGUCAUUGGAAACUGGGGAACUUGAGUGCAGAAGAGGAGAGUGGAAUUCCACGUGUAGCGGUGAAAUGCGUAGAGAUGUGGAGGAACACCAGUGGC